UGUUAAAAAGUUCAUUCACUUCUACUGUUAAAAAUUGGUGACUAGCGAAAUAACUAGAUAAUUACAAAUGACAUGUUAUGUACACCUCAUGCUGAUGCAUAAUGACUAGUUUUUAACAUUAAAAUUGAUAAAAUUUUUGACA
rfam:Gossypium hirsutum cultivar TM-1 chromosome 15, whole genome shotgun sequence